rnacentral:rRNA from 1 species
GAUGAACGCUGGCGGCGUGCCUAAUACAUGCAAGUCGAGCGAACAGACGAGGAGCUUGCUCCUCUGACGUUAGCGGCGGACGGGUGAGUAACACGUGGAUAACCUACCUAUAAGACUGGGAUAACUUCGGGAAACCGGAGCUAAUACCGGAUAAUAUAUUGAACCGCAUGGUUCAAUAGUGAAGGACGGUUUUGCUGUCACUUAUAGAUGGAUCCGCGCCGCAUUAGCUAGUUGGUAAGGUAACGGCUUACCAAGGCGACGAUGCGUAGCCGACCUGAGAGGGUGAUCGGCCACACUGGAACUGAGACACGGUCCAGACUCCUACGGGAGGCAGCAGUAGGGAAUCUUCCGCAAUGGGCGAAAGCCUGACGGAGCAACGCCGCGUGAGUGAUGAAGGUCUUCGGAUCGUAAAACUCUGUUAUUAGGGAAGAACAAAUGUGUAAGUAACUAUGCACGUCUUAACGGUACCUAAUCAGAAAGCCACGGCUAACUACGUG